GAUGAACGCUAGCGGCAGGCUUAACACAUGCAAGUCGAGGGGCAGCAUGAAGGUUAGCAAUAACCUUUGAUGGCGACCGGCGCAAGGGUGCGUAACGCGUGAGCAACUUGCCCGUUUCUGGGGAAUAACCGGUGGAAACGCCGACUAAUACCCCAUAGCAUCAGAAUGAGGCAUCUCAAUCUGAUUAAAGAAAUUCGGAAACGGAUAGGCUCGCGUGACAUUAGCUAGAUGGCGGGGUAACGGCCCACCAUGGCUACGAUGUCUAGGGGUUCUGAGAGGAAGGUCCCCCACACUGGAACUGAGAUACGGUCCAGACUCCUACGGGAGGCAGCAGUGGGGAAUAUUGGGCAAUGGGCGCAAGCCUGACCCAGCGACGCCGCGUGAGUGAAGAAGGUCUUCGGAUUGUAAACUUCUUUUAUGAGGGACGAUAGUGACGGUACCUCAUGAAUAAGCCACGGCUAACUACGUG
rnacentral:rRNA from 1 species